UUUGCGUGUUUAUGGAGCUGUGGACUGGGGUCCGCUCAUCGCCCCUGCGCGUCUCCCGUUCCCUGGGCAAUGCUGCAGCAGUUGCCGCCGCCGCCUCCCCCUCCUAAGAGGACGUGGGCUGUUCGGCAGAAACUGACCUGGGUGAAGGAGGAGGAGGAGGAGGAAGCGGAGCCUGUCCCCCGGCGGCCGGACCCAUUACUAUGGCCGUGUUCUGCUAUGCGCUCAACAGCCUAGUGAUCAUGAAGAAGAGCGGCGAGGGAGAGGAGAAGAGCGGGGGCUGCAGAGGAGGCAGGAGCAAGACCCCACCUGCCACGCGCAGACAAGGGCCGCCUGAAGUCGCCCGGGGAAACGAGAGGCAUAGCAGCUAUUGCCCUUUGCCUCUGAGCAGCAGCGGCAGUUCCAGCGGCUCCCCCACUGCAUUCCUCUUCCCUCCAGCCGAGUCGCCGCGAGCCACGGAGGAGACUCCAUUUCUCAAGUCCCCUCGAGAGCUCAGCAGCCCUAUCUGGACUAGCCCCCAGAGCCGGUCUCCUUCGCCCGGCUGGAAAGAGUCUUGCAGGUCGCCCCGGAUCCUCCAACGGGAGUUGCAGAAUGUGCAGGUGGUUGAGAAAGUGGGGCUAUUUGAAGCGCACAUCCAGGCGCACAGUUCGGGGGGCACCACUUUCCCCCUAAAGAGUCCCCGCCUGCCCAGGAGAAAGUCGUCUUCUUCCCCAAGCCAACCUUGCCCCUUGCAGCUGGUGCAGGAUACCCCGUCCAGGCAACGAGAGAUACAGGAGGGAAUCAAGGAGCUGGAUAAACUCUGGUACCGACUAGAAACCAGAGGGAAGGCGUUAGAGAAGGAGGCAGAGAAGGAUUCUGGGGACACCCAUCUAUUACAGGUGGUGGGCAAGGGAAAAUCCGAUGAGACAUCUCAGUCUACUGAGAAAGAAAAUGGACUCUUGGGAGAGCAGUGCCCAAAGGCCAAAGGAUUUGGAGCACAAGAUUCAGAAGUGGAGAGCAGAAGCCAAACUGGGUUGUGGAGUUCAGAUCCAAUGGAUAAAGGAUGUAUUUUGUUGAAAGGGCCCAAUUCUAACCAGAUGGGGAGGGUGAAUGGGAUUUCCAGACCACAGGAGUCCAGGCAGGCAGAAAGGGGUCUGUGGCCUAUUGGGAGGCAGGACUUUGAGGUGAGAAGUGAGCCUCUGGAAGAAAAAGACUCCAAAGAGAUGGAGAGCAGGAGAAGCUGUGAGGAAACUCAGGGCUCUGAUGAGAUGAGCAUCAUGAUGCAGCCAGGUGAAGGCGAGGUACAACUUUUGGAAGGGUCAAGCAAUGUGAGUAGUUGCUGUAAGAAUCAAAGCUUCAUAAAAACUGGGCUCUGGGGGAGGGACUUUUCUGGAGGGCAGGGCUCAGGAGCCAUAGAGAUGCCCCUUGGAGAGCCGCUCCCUCUAGGAGACCCGCCUUGCCUUGGGAGAACUGAUAACAAAGAGGGUAGCUGCAGCCUGUUCGCUUUGACAUUCUCUGAGAAGCAGUCCUUGUCUGAGAUUAUGGCUGAAGCCCAUGCUGUUGGGCUGCAGGGACAGCAGCUUCCCUCAGGGACCUCUGCAGGACUACCACAACCGAGGUGGUCCCUAGUGGAAGGCCGGGGAUGCUGUGGAGGUGCAAACAUUCCUGCUGUUAUUGUGACAGACCUGGAUGCUCAGGAAGAGGAAAAAACAGGAGCAGCUCCCCCAAAGGACAUGCCAAUCAGGAAGCUGUCUUCUUCCUCAGCUUCUUCCACUGGCUUUUCCUCAUCCUGGGAAGAGUCUGAAGAAGAUAUCUCCAGUGAUCCUGAGCGAUCCUUGGACCAGAGUCCAGCCUUCCUGCAGACCUUGGAUAAACCCAGAGUGAGCAAAUCGUGGCGGAAAAUCAAGAACAUGGUGCAUUGGUCCCCCUUUGUUAUGUCCUUUAAGAAGAAAUAUCCCUGGAUCCAAUUAGCAGGGCAUGCAGGUAGCUUCAAAGCUGCUGCAAAUGGGAGGAUAUUAAAGAAGCAUUGUGAGUCUGAACAGCGUUGUUUGGACCGUUUGAUGAAUGAUGUCCUUAAGCCUUAUGUUCCUGCCUAUCAUGGAGAUAUUGUGAAGGAUGGGGAGAGGUAUAAUCAGAUGGAAGAUCUCCUAGCUGAUUUUGAUUCUCCUUGUGUUAUGGACUGCAAGAUGGGAGUCAGGACCUAUGUGGAAGAGGAGUUAUCAAAGGCCAGAAAGAAGCCAAGUUUGCGGAAAGACAUGUAUCUGAAGAUGAUUGAAGUAGAUCCCGAGGCUCCGACUGAGGAAGAGAACUCUCAACAUGCAGUGACCAAGCCUCGGUACAUGCAGUGGAGAGAAACUAUAAGUUCUACAGCAACGUUAGGGUUCCGGAUUGAAGGAAUAAAGAAAGAAGAUGGCACCGUGAAUAGGGACUUCAAGAAGACUCGGACAAAGGAACAAGUCAUGGACGCCUUCAGAGAAUUUACUAAAGGAAACCAUAACAUUCUGAGCAGUUAUCUUAACCGGUUAAAGGGGAUACGUGAUACUUUGCAAACAUCACCAUUCUUCAUGACCCAUGAGGUAAUUGGGAGUUCCCUUCUCUUCAUCCAUGACAAGAGGGAGCAGGCCAAAGUAUGGAUGAUUGAUUUUGGGAAAACCACUCCACUUCCAGAGGGACAAGUUCUGCAGCACAAUGUGCCCUGGAUAGAGGGGAACAGAGAGGAUGGCUACCUCUGGGGGCUGGAUAAUCUAAUUGAGAUCCUAACAGAGUUGUCUCAACGUGAAGAUCUGCAUUAAAGCUAAUCCACAACCUAGUUCCUCCAACUGACUUUCUGAUCUGCACUACAAGACACUUUUCUUCCACCUUCUCUUCCAGUUCUAAAAUUUAAAAGUUCCUUUUCUUUUAUUUAAGGUGUAAAUAAAAUGUGAUGUUCCCAAAGAAACACUGAACAAGAAGUUAAAAAUUAGACAAAGCAGAUAGCAAUGUUGGCCUUAGGAGUUAGGUAUCCUGUAUCCUAAAACAGAAAAUACUUUUGUAUAUUAAAAAUGUGAUAAAGUUCUUAUAUGUUUGAGCACCAGAAAGAUAAUUCCCUAGACUUGUUUAAAUUGUAUCUCUAGAGUGAAGGAUGCAUUUGUAGUUAUCUGCUGCCCUCUCGUGUCCAAAGCUAGCAUUAUUUGGGGCAACUGAUGUUGAAAGCAUGUUUAUAUUGGGCAUUUUUUUAUAGGUGUUCUCUCUUCGUGGGAAUGUCCCACAAAAGGAAUGGUAGCAACUUAUAUUUACUAACUUUCCUAAAUAUAAGAAUUAGAAUAUAAUAGUUUAUAGGAAUAAUUAACAUCAGAUAAACUUUUCUACAUAAGGAAGUAAUUUCUUGUUGGCUUACUGUGCAAUAUAUACAUAGUUGUAGCAACUGCAAGAGUUUGCCUUUGCGGAUUACAUUACAUGGUGCAUCCGUUUAGCUACUGAAAUUAGUUUGGACUACUGAGAGCAAGGAUCUGAUCCCUUCUCUACCCUUCCAUUAGCAUGGGAUGACCUGGUCACGUGGCAGGAAAGGGGCUGCUGCAGAAUGACAAAGGCACUGACUGCCAUCCUCUGGGUGUCUUUUUGGUAGCACUGCAGUCCCUUUUGAAAAGGAUAAUGCAUUCUCAGGCUUCCUACGCUGUUUAAUAAUAGCCUAUGCUGAAAGUGCCUUAUGGACUAGUGUCUGUUCCACUCAGUGUCAUGAAAAAAAAAUUGUGGUUUUUUUUUAAAAGUACUAUUUAUUGCCAUACUUUUAGUUAUCUAGAACACUAAGUCUUAAUGCAUGGAAUUUUUUUAAAGGAUAAUGCUUGGCUUUUGAAAUCUCUCUCCGCAUUUAUGGAAAGGGGAAGACCAUGAAACAGUUUCAAGUCAUCCUAUUAUAAAAAUGUAUUUAGCUUUUAAAUUACUUCCAUUACAUGCUUUUUUUAAAAAAAAUAUGCUGGUUUGUUUGUAAAAUAAGAUUCUUUGCUUUUUGGCUUUUAAAGAAGUGAAAUAUUUCUCCAGAUAUCUUUUGGAUCUUUCUGGAGGCUGGAACUAUUGCUGUGAGGUAUUUCUCCUAACACUUUCCACCCCGUUCCCCUUGAUUAGCAAGGAGAUGAGGAACUUGCAGAGUUACAGAACAUCAUCAAUGCACAGUGCCUGUAAGUCAAACAACUUAAAAUAAAAACAUACAACAUGA